rnacentral:rRNA from 1 species
GAUGAACGCUGGCGGCGUGCCUAAUACAUGCAAGUCGAGCGAACAGACGAGGAGCUUGCUCCUUCGACGUUAGCGGCGGACGGGUGAGUAACACGUAGGUAACCUACCUAUAAGACUGGGAUAACUUCGGGAAACCGGAGCUAAUACCGGAUAAUAUUUCGAACCGCAUGGUUCGAUAGUGAAAGAUGGCUUUGCUAUCACUUAUAGAUGGACCUGCGCCGUAUUAGCUAGUUGGUAAGGUAACGGCUUACCAAGGCAACGAUACGUAGCCGACCUGAGAGGGUGAUCGGCCACACUGGAACUGAGACACGGUCCAGACUCCUACGGGAGGCAGCAGUAGGGAAUCUUCCGCAAUGGGCGAAAGCCUGACGGAGCAACGCCGCGUGAGUGAUGAAGGUCUUCGGAUCGUAAAACUCUGUUAUUAGGGAAGAACAAACGUGUAAGUAACUGUGCACGUCUGGACGGUACCUAAUCAGAAAGCCACGGCUAACUACGU